GCACUUCAACCUCUGCGGAGGUCAUUCAGUGUAUGGAAAAAAUUCAAGAUGCCGUUGCAACGGCUUCCCGACCAAGGCAGAAUUACAUGGGCAAUAGUGAUGCUAGAGGUGUUACUUCGUGGGCAAAAUGAGUUUGCUUCUGUGCUUUUGGUGUUAGCCUUUGGGCACAAUUUUUGGAACAAUGUGGAUUUGGGGGUUUAUUUGCCUGUCCUGUGGUUUGUUAGUAAUGCACUUAUAUAUCUUCUGCACAAUUUAAACUCAUUUGCUAUUGGUGGCAAUGUCUACUAAUCCUGUUAAUUUGAAGAUCAUUGCAAUCAGAUUGUGUCUUCCAAAUAUUUUCCUUUUUCUAUCUUAGCACUUAUCUCAUUUCCAAUGCUCCAUGCAUCUGCCCAACGUCCAUUUUCCAUUUCUCUGUCAUGGGAAACAUACUCUUCAUUAAGAAUAAUCGCAUGCAAGUUUCUUUUUUUAUUAAUGGAAGGAGCAUAGCUCCAGAUGGUAGCUACAUAAGGUUCAUGGAGUGUAAGUCAUAAUAUAUAUUCUCAGAAUACAAGGUUGAACACCACAGCUCAACCUCCAUUAUCAAUUGCUCUGUCAUCGUAGACACACUCUUCGUUCAGGAUCAUCGCAUACAACUUUAUAUACUCAACCUACCCUUUUCUUCUUCUGAAAAAUCUUUCUGUGUCGUUGAGCUUGUUUCUUAAAAAGGCUGUCAAGAGUAGUUACUUUGACCUUUUAAGGCGUUCAUUUGGAGUAGAAAAUUUGAGAGUUAUGAUCACUUCUGCAUGCGCAUCCUUAGUCAGGUACAACAAAACCUGAAGGAAAUCUUGAGAAAGGCGGGACUAGGGAACUGACAAUCGUUGUAAGCUGCCUAUGUGUGCUGCUGUCUCCAUUAAGGUAUGAAUGUCAGGUGGUGACCUGCAAAAUAUGAGCUUGCAUAGCAUUCAGUUGAUAUUCAUAUUUCAAGGGUUUGUACUAUGGCUUAUCCUAGUUGGUGUUCUUGUCCUGCUUGAUUAUCCCACCUGGAACUGAAGAUUGUUGGAGUUUUUCUUCUUUUGUUAAGUUUGGCUGAGCCCUAAUUCUCUGUAAAACCCCGUAAUUAAUGGAAAGCGGCGCUCAAAAUUUGGUCCUCUUUUAGAUGCAAGGCCAUAAGUAGCAUGAGCAUUUUGUUUAAGUUUUAACCGCAGUUGUAUCUUUGGAGAUUAGCAUCUCAAAUUUCUGAGGCUAUACAUAUUCUCUUGUCAUCGUAUCAGCUAAAUAAUGAUUUGUUUUAAGACAGUUCUCUCACAUAAUUUUCUUGCUCUGCUAGGAAUCCAGAUUUAUGAAAUGGAUAAUGUGACUUGGCAGGAACAAAGUAGCAGCAGCAAUACCGAAGCAGCUCACAGCGGAAGCGGCAGGAUGCCGUCAUGUUGCCUGAUCAAUCUCACUAUCGGUGACAUGGAUUUAAAGCUAAUUCCUCCAUGCCCACCACAUGGAUUGAAAAACUGAUUCAUAAGAAAGAUCCAGUAGAACUUUUGUUUAUGGAUUUGCAAGCAACCAUUUCCAUUUGAAAGCGUCUGCAUUUUUCUUAUUCAAAUUCUGAGAACACUGUAAAUCAUUAGAACUUCAGAGAGUUAAUUGCUGUCGAUUGACACUUGAACUGUCGUUUGCUUGUUGUCCAUGCUGCUAUUCGUUUUUAGCUGAUGCUAGUUGUGUUUUCAGAGUCUUGGUUGUGGUAAACUUAAAGAAAGCAGGUGUCGCCUUACACAGAUGGAUUGUCCUUACUAGUCACAAUAUUGUCAAUAAAAUUAUCCACCUCUUUUAUGAGAUUGUGCUGUACAAUUAAUACCAAAAUAUUUCUAGGUCUUUCUCUGCAUGUGAUCAUUAGUUUUGUGUAUGAUUUUUUUUCAUCAGUCCAGAACAUACCUAAACUUGAAUGUGUAUAUAAAUAUAUGUCUAGAGGUAUUUCAAUUAGACUUCAAAUGCUUCUUUCAGUUUCACAGUGCCAACUCCUUUCUCUUAUUGAUCUUUCUUCAACAGUUUCUCGUACUCUAAUUGCAGGUCUUAAGGCAAGGAAGAGAUCCCAAGGAAAUCAAGGACGUACCAAGAAAUAUAUCAUUGUCUUUCGGAAGCAAGUCUAGAACCAAGAGGUAAAAAUGACAUAACACAUCUGAUUUCUUUUCAGAAACAAGAUUAAGUUAUUCUUGGAAAAAUAGGGUAUUCUUCUAGGAAGAUGAUACUACCUCUGUUCCCAUAUUAGAAAGAUGAUACUACCUCUGUUCCCAUAUAUAAAGCAUUCUGGUAGUUCCAAUUAAACUGCCAGGACAUCUUAUAUAUGGAAACAGGGGUAGUACCGUUUAUGCUGCUGUUCUACACAGAUGGUCACCUGGUUUUGUUAUUUCUAUUCUUCUAUUCUUGGAAAAUGCCGUUUGCACCUGUUGGUUGCAGGGCCUGUCAGCUAAUCUCACAUUCUCCUAUGUGCUUAUAUUGAUUCCUGUGAUUUGCUGAGCACCAUAGCUCCAAGGUUGUAUGAUUAUGCUGGCUUGAAGCAUGCAUGAUCUAGUCCAUGCCAAUUGCAAAUAAGGGUGGCUAAACUUGUGCUGGGAUCUCAAGUAUCUUGGGAGUGCUGUCCAUUUUCACUCAUUUUGGUGAUCAUAUAAGCCAUAGGUGAAUAUACUUGGUGUCUGCCUCUGUCCGCAGUUCUAGGUACGAGCCGAUAGUUAGGUCUUAUAUGCCCUGUUUUUAGACAAUGCACUGUUAUAUAGUGUGAUGCUCCAUUUUUUGACAGAGCACCCAAUUUGGUAACAACAGUAAUUUGCAGUCUGCUCUAGCAAUUACAUCUUAUUGGUAGACUCUAGAUAUUCAUGAACAUGGAUCUGAUUGUUUGAUUAAACCAUGGUGGCCCCCAGUUCCCUUUGUUUGUUAGAUCUGAUUGUUUGAUUAAACGGUGUCAUCGGUUAAAUCCUAAAAUAGUAGAAGUGCUUUGAUCACUGUCAGAGUGUCAGUUAUCAUUGGUUGUCAAACUCCAUACAUGACUUUUUCCAACCUUCCAUGGAACUUUAGUGCCCAGAGGAAGAAUAGAAGCUUUGUUGGCGUUGUCGAUUUUAGGCUUUUAGCCAUCUGAAAAGAGUAAAAGAUCUUAUUUUCUUUAAUCAUAAUCCAGGCCUAACACUCUUAUCCGUGUACUCGUUAAUUUUUUGUCAGGUACAAGCAGCACCAUGGUUUUAUUCUUGAGCAUGCCUCUGGUAUAGUAGCCUGUUGUCAUUUGAUCUCUGACAUUGUCUUAAGGUGAGGAAGAGAUCCGAGGAAAUCAAGAUGUACCAAGAAAUAUAUCGUCGUGUCCAUGUUAAGCUACUUUGAUUCAUCCAGGGUCGUGUGAAUGAUGAAUUAGUCAAGGUCAAUAUUUGUGAGAUGAACUAUUGUAGCUGUAGCUGUUGGAUGGAAAUAAAUCGAAAUGAAUCUUGUGCACGUAAAUCGUGUUAUUAUUGUUUAUUUACUUUUUAUUAAGGGAAAUACUGUUUAUUUA